UGCAGUCGGACGGUAGCACAAAGGAGCUUGCUCCUUGGGUGACGAGUGGCGGACGGGUGAGUAGUGUCUGGGGAUCUGCCCGAUAGAGGGGGAUAACCACUGGAAACGGUGGCUAAUACCGCAUAACGUCGCAAGACCAAAGAGGGGGACCUUCGGGCCUCUCACUAUCGGAUGAACCCAGAUGGGAUUAGCUAGUACGCGGGGUAGUGGCCCACCUAGGCGACGAUCCCUAUCUGGUCUGAGAGGAUGACCACCCACACUGGAACUGAGACACGGUCCAGACUCCUACGGGAGGCAGCAGUGGGGAAUAUUGCACAGUGGGCGCAAGCCUGAUGCACCCAUGCCGCGUGUAUGAAGAAGGCCUUCGGGUUGUAAAGUACUUUCAGCGGGGAGGAAGGCGAUGCGGUUAAUAACCGCGUCUAUUGACGUUACCCGCAGAAGAAGCACCGGCUAACUCCGUGCCAGCAGCCGCGGUAAUACAGAGGGUGCAAGCGUUAAUCGGAAUUACUGGGCGUAAAGCGCACGCAGGCGGUCUGUUAAGUCAUAUGUGAAAUCCCCGGGCUUAACCUGGGAACUGCAUUUGAAACUGGCAGGCUUGACUCUUGUAGAGGGGGGUAGAAUUCCAGGUGUAGCGGUGAAAUGCGUAGAGAUCUGGAGGAAUACCGGUGGCGAACGCG
rnacentral:rRNA from 1 species